rnacentral:rRNA from 1 species
GACGAACGCUGGCGGCGUGCCUAACGCAUGCAAGUCGAGCGAGGGGAGGUCGCAAGACCGAACCUAGCGGCGAACGGGUGAGUAACACGUGGGUAAUCUGCCUAUGAGACGGGGAUAGCCCCGGGAAACUGGGGAUAAUACCGGAUGUGAUCCAGCUGACGGAGGUUAGCUGGAGGAAAUGGCGCAAGCCGCUCAUAGAUGAGCCCGCGGCCCAUUAGCUAGUUGGUAGGGUAAAGGCCUACCAAGGCGACGAUGGGUAGCCGGUCUGAGAGGAUGGCCGGCCACACUGGGACUGAGACACGGCCCAGACUCCUACGGGAGGCAG